UACGUAGGGGGCAAGCGUUGUCCGGAUUUAUUGGGCGUAAAGAGCGUGUAGGCGGCCAGGCAGGUCCGCUGUGAAAACUCGAGGCUCAACCUCGAGAGGUCGGUGGAAACCGUUUGGCUAGAGUCCGGAAGAGGAGAGUGGAAUUCCCGGUGUAGCGGUGAAAUGCGCAGAUAUCGGGAAGAACACCCGUGGCGAAGGCGGCUCUCUGGGACGGUACUGACGCUGAGACGCGAAAGCGUGGGGAGCGAACGGG
rnacentral:rRNA from 1 species